GAUGAACGCUGGCGGCGUGCUUAACACAUGCAAGUCGAACGAUGAAGCCCAGCUUGCUGGGUGGAUUAGUGGCGAACGGGUGAGUAACACGUGAGUAACCUGCCCUUAACUCUGGGAUAAGCCUGGGAAACUGGGUCUAAUACCGGAUAGGAGCGUCUACCGCAUGGUGGGUGUUGGAAAGAUUUAUCGGUUUUGGAUGGACUCGCGGCCUAUCAGCUUGUUGGUGGGGUAGUGGCUCACCAAGGCGACGACGGGUAGCCGGCCUGAGAGGGUGACCGGCAACACUGGGCCUGGGACACGGCCCGGCUUCCACCGGGGGGAAGCGGGGGGGAUAAUUGACCAUUGGGCGCAAGCUGGUGGCAGCGACGCGGCGUGGGGGAGACCGGCCUUCGGGUGGUAACCGUCUUCCAGUAGGAAAGAAGCGAGUGUGACGGUACCUGCAGAAGAAGCACCGGCUAACUACGUG
rnacentral:rRNA from 1 species